rnacentral:lncRNA from 1 species
GGGAUUCGGUGUUACACUGAUGCAUCAAUUCCACCAGAGAACCAAAUUGUUGGACCCACACCGGCUGGACUAGGGAUUUACAUCCAUGAUCCCCAUCACCCGGACCGUCCGGCAAUUAUGAUCAAGGCACAGAUCAACAACAUGAGCACUCCAUUGCAGGCAGAAGCCCAGGCGAUGCUACUUGCAGCCAAAGUGGUACAUCAGCUCCAGCUACAGAAUGUCGCCUACCACACAGAUUGU